rnacentral:rRNA from 1 species
UCGAGAAUUUUUCUCAAUGGGCGAAAGCUUGAAGGAGCGACGCCGCGUGGGGGAUGAAGGGCUUCGGUCCGUAAACCCCUGUCAUUUGCGAACAAACCCCGGUUGUGAACAACAGCCGGGCUGAUUGUAGCGAAAGAGGAAGGGACGGCUAACUCUGUGCCAGCAGCCGCGGUAAUACAGAGGUCCCGAGCGUUGUUCGGAUUCACUGGGCGUAAAGGGUGCGUAGGUGGCCUGGCAAGUUUGGCGUGAAAUCUCCGGGCUCAACCCGGAAACUGCGUCGAAGACUGUCGGGCUUGAGGAUUGGAGGGGGGAUUGGAAUUCUUGGUGUAGCAGUGAAAUGCGUAGAUAUCAAGAGGAACACCAGUGGCGAAGGCGAAUCCCUGGACAAUACCUGACACUGAGGCACGAAAGCUAGGGGAGCAAACAGG